UCAUACGAACAAGACGCGUUUUGUAUGACACUCUCUGUCUAUCUGUACAUUAGCCACGAUCGUAUACUCGAUGUUAUUUUUCCUCAAAUACUUAACGUACAUUGAACGAUUAAGACAGUAAUUUCUCAUUUGUUUCAUUUCCUUCCGAGUCAGAACUUGAACCGAUCUGAACCGAAAAACAAAAAAAAAAGUUUGAAAAGUGUUUUGUAGUGAGAACGUAACGUUUAUUCGGUAUUUUGACGAGAAACGAGAAAAAAAAAAGAAAAACAGUAACAACGGUCAAAGUUUUUUAAAAAGUCAGUCGGAUGACCGACCAUUCGUGUAUUGAAAAUACAAUUUUGUUUUUUUUUCUCUUGUUUGUGACAUAAAGAAAAACAUACACACGCUCAACUUUUGCCAAAAUGAAAGAAAACGAUAAACAAAGGUUUGAAGUAACUGAACAUUUUGUCGCACAAUUGUUAUAAUUGAAUGCAGAAAAAUGUGCGCGCGUGUAUCGUGAUGUCGUGAAGAAUUUGAACAUUUUCUUUUUGAACAAAAAAAAUUUAGUUUAAAAGAAAUUUGAUUUGUGUACGCGGCCGUUAUCGAUGAAGUUUUAUGCUUGAUGCCGUUGUUAAUAUAUUCAUGAAUCAAAGUCUGUUUUUGGUCCAAAGAGCGACGAAUCGAAUGUUAAUUGAUUCUCUUCCUCGCACCAGUGUGCUGUGGCUAUAUAAUUUUUUUUUCACUGUCACCUGCCGUGCAACUUCCAAUUAUUUGGCUGAGCGAACAAGAGAUUCUGAAUGUGAUCAAUGAACUGUGUUAAAUAAACAAUGCAUAACAAUUUUCACUGUGUUUAUUGGAAGUGCUAAUGGAAAAUGUGAUCAAAGGAUGAAAUGAUGUGACAAAAACUAAACAAUCGAAUUUAACGAACAAAGAACGAUAUUCAUAGAACGUACUCGAUUGAACUUUUUUUUUUGAUCGCGCAACAUGUGUGUAAUGACAUUUACAUCAUACUGCUAAAAUCGAAUCUUGGACAAUGCAAAAUCGCAGAUUUUGCAAUCGACGCAAAGUGGACACAAAACAGAGAAAAAAGAAAAUAAUAAAGAAAAUAUAAACAAGCACAUGUUCAAUUUGAUCGUGAUAAUAAGAACACAUUAUCCAAGUGCAACUCUUUUAAUGAAUGUGAAACAACAAAAAAGUCAACGUUUUAUUUCAUUUUUGUGCGUUAUAAAUUUCAUACAACGAAAACAAGUUUGAGUUUACUGACAUUUUUGUGUGAUUGAGUCGCAUUUUGAAAAGAAACACACGUUCGUUUUACGGAAUUCAGGUGCAAAUUGUGUUUUCAGUUUAUAAACGAACGAUGGAACAUAAUUAAAAAAAUGUUUCACAUGAAAAGACAGAUAAAUUAGUGAAUUCGUGUUAGAGACUGAUGAGAGAAAAAUAAUGCAAAAUUCAUAUGUUAUUGUGUAUUGAUCUAUCGAAAAUUUUAUAGACAAUUUUGGAAUAAUUUCAUAUUGCGCUAACGACGAACAUUUCGUCAUCAAUAAGUGAAUUUAUGUAAAAACUUAUUCAAGUUCUGUGGCAUUGAUUGUUGAAGAUUCAAAAAAAAUAUUAUACAAUCCAGUAAACCAUCCAUGCCGUAUUUGUUUUUUUCAUCGUAGUGAAUGAAAUGACCGCCCCGUUUAAUGAACAUUCAAAUUAGAGCCAACAAAUUAUUCACUUCACCGAUUCAGCUCCAAGUACAAAUCAUCAAUUUAUCAUUAAACAAUUUGAACAACAUUCGAUACGCAUCAUAAACAUCAUUAUUCACAUCGGAGAAAAAAAAAACAUACAACCAAAUCACAAGGCAUCAAACACAAUUUUUCAAUGGAAAUUGAUUUGAAAAAUAUUUGACAUUUGACAAAAAAAAAUUCCUCUUUGCUUUUAAUGGUCAUUUCUUGCAUACGACUCACAUGUCUUGAAUGAUCAUGUUUCUAUUUUGAAUAAUUACAACUGUUGUACAGAGUUUUAAAAAAGACUGAAAUUGUGUUAACAUAGCAAAAAAGGAAAGUAAUACACCGAAUUUGAAUUAUACUGAAUCCGGAAAUAAAUUACAGGCAAAUAAACGCAAGCUUAAACUGGGAAAAAAGCAGCAGAUAACAAAGUUUUACAAUAUAAUUAUACACUAAUAUAGCGAAAUAGAAAACGAAACAGUGUGGCGCUACAAAACUAUCUGUCCGGUUCAAUCAAUGAGUGUAUUCUUUGUAUGCUGAAAAGAUAGAAAGCAAAUCACAUACACAGACACAUCGAACAGAACCAGAAGCUUCAACAAGCACUGAAAUUAAUUGAGAAGAAAAGACGUUUCUAUAAUUCAUGUUGUUUCACAUUAUUGAGAUUGACGCUGAUUCUGUGGAAAAAAGAAAAGAAAAUCAAUUUGAUGCGAUCAAGUAAACCAACAUUGUGUUACUUUCUCGGUCACGUUGAUGCUAUCGAAAUUAUUUAUUGCACACACUUGGUAUUCUUUUCGAUUUUGAACGUCGAUUUCAUCGGAACAAAACGCAUUUAAUUGAACACACAAAAAAUAAACCUGACAAAUCAUUUUAGGAUUCCUAUUAAAAUAUUAAUUUGUAAGGUUUCCUUAUAAUAUGGCAACAUUUUAUUAGGAAACCUUUAAAUAAUAAAACAUGUUUUGUUUCAACACAGUGAAGUUGGCUUUGACGUUUAAGCGCGCCAAUUUAUCAGGAUUCCUGUUAAAAUAUUGCGAUUUUAUAAGGAAACCUAACAAAUUCAUUUUUUAAUAGGAAACCUAAAAUAAUUUGUGGGGUUUAUCUCUUGUGUGAAUUUCAACUGAAACGUAUUGCACGCAUCCACACUGUAAUUUAAUUGUUAUUGCUGGCGUAAUUUUCUAGAUAGAUAUCGCAUUAAUUGUCGACAUAAAAAAAAUAUAUAUACGAGAACCGGUUGCGUAUUUCAAUAAAUCUGAUGAUCAACUGAAAUUUAUGUGCAUUUCUUUCUCUCUCUUCAAAUUAAAAAGAGAAAUAUUUCGAUCGAGUUCAACAAGAUUGUCGAGAAGAAAGUGAAAACCAAAAGGAACGUCAAAAACAAAAACUGUCAACUAAAAAUGAUCUAAGCUGAUAAAUGUAUGCAUUUGAUUCAUUCGCAUUGUUAGAGCAAAGAGACCAGCGACGAAAUGAAAUGAUCUUCCUCAUAAAAAAAUAAAAAAACCAACAAAUUAAGGUUAUUCAUAGUAAACGAAAAAAGAGUUAAGCAGCAAAAAAAUAAACGGAAAAAAUGAUGCAACCACCGUCAGCGAAUCUUUAUCAAUUAAAAUUGGGAAGUAAGCAAAUGCCGACACCAACAAAUGUAAUGUCAUCAACAUUGAUGUCAAAUUCAUCGCGAAAAACAUCGUGUUCGGACAAUGCGUCCGACAUUGUCGAUGCUGAUUAUGUGGAUAAAAAUAUUCCAAAAAUGGAACUGCUGAAAAUUAGCUAUGUAUCACGUAGUCGAAAUAAUUUAGCAGCGAUCGCAACAAACAAUGAUGACAGCGAUGUGGUACAAUUGAGAGCGAAAAAGCGAAUUCAUCAAAGGCAACCACCAAAAUAUCAACGAUCGCACAGUGACGGUUUGUUAAAAGUCAGUGAAUUAGCUAAAUUGUCCGGUUGCACCGAAAACAGCAAGGAGCUUAAUGGAAAAAUAACAACAACACCAUCAGCAACAGCAACAACGGUGACAUCAGCAACCGCAGCAAAAACAUUAAAUUCGAAAAGUUCAUCAUCAGCCAAAGCCACACAGCCAUUGCCAAUGCCAUCAAGCCAUCAUCAAAAUCCCCUCAAGUAUACGGUAUACAAAAAGCACAAUUCAUGCGACACAACGGUCGCACUUAAAUCGGAAAAACUGCAAUAUACUAAUGACGAUGCCAUAUUCAAAGCGAAAAAGAAGUAUUCAAUGUUUGACAGCCGCAAGCGCAAUUCCAUCGAUAACAUUCAAUUCUAUUUCGAUAGCAAAAGCUAUGAACGGCAUGUCGACAAUAAAAUUUACGGUGUACUUAUGCCGAAUGCAAAUAGUUCGGAAAAGACACCAAUGAUGAAUGCCAAAGCGUCAGUUAAACGAUUGGCACCAGCCGCACCACCAUCCAACUACGAAAAUAAAUCAAAUAGUUGGAAUUUCGUUAAGGCAACCAAAUCACUGUUGAAUGGUACAAAUGUAAGUCGAAAUGCAAGCGGUCAAAAGUAUAUGAAGAAUGUAACAUCUGCAAAAAAAAUUACGCGAGAUUCAUCGUUAGUCGAUUUAACACGUAUCGGUCAAUUGUUUCGUGAAACGCGUCGUGCAUCGGCUGAUGAUUUGCUCGACGGUGGACGAAUUGUGCUACCAAAUCGUAAUGAAGGCAAACAGAGAACGAACAGUGAAUGCAAUGAAAAUAAUGAAAAUAAAACGGCUGCCACAUCGAGAAAAAUCAAAAAGUUAAGCACUGAUUUUGAAAAUAAAUGCUUAUGCGAUUAUAAACCGAAACAAUUGCGUGGUAUAAGUGAACGUAAAACAUCCGCACCAUCACAUUUAUUUUCCGAUGCCAAUGGGAAAUUCUCCGAUUUGAAUCGUUUGAAUGAGAAUUGUAUGCGAAAUCGACGAAAAUUGGAAUUUCCCAUCGAUUCAACGUGCAAUACGAAACAAGAUCGAUCACCACCGAUGUUGCCACCGAAAAAAACAAAUCGAAUGCAAAAAUGUAAUAGCGCUGAAUAUGAUGCAGAAAUGGUGAACAAAAUUGAUAAAAGUUUCUAUUUAGAUAAAGUUCGAUCAAAAUCCAUGACCAUUGAACAUGGUAUUCCGUUAUUUGGCCAAUUUAAUGCGACGUGCAAUGGUUCGUCAAGUACGUGUGGCUAUAAAAAUUGUACAUUUAUCAAUUGUCCAAUGUCAUCGAUAACAGCCGCAUUAUCAAAUUCAAGUCACGAAAAUGUUGCGAAUAAAUUGUGCAACGCAAAAUCAAUGUCGAACAACAGUGAUAAGGAAAAGAAUCAUGAAUUGAACAAAUUGAAAAAUGGCCAUAAUAUUAGCAUUACGAAAAUUGACACGAUCAGCAAUAAAUCGAAAUUGUAUUUGAAGCGAAAAGAUUUCAAUGAUGAUCAUGAUGCAUUUCUCAAGGAUUUUGAAUCGAAUAAUGGUGAUGGCGGUGUAACGUUAAAUAAUUUAAAGAACCUAAAAAAUACAACACAUUUAAAUGUCAACGAAACAAGCGCAUGCACAAAUAUUAAUAAUGGCGGUACAACAAUUCCAAUUAAAUUCAUUCCAAAUCAACAAAAUUUAAAUAAUUCGAUGAAAUGUAAAAGUGUCGAAAAAUUGGAUUUUAAUUCGACGAGUACGAUUGAAAAUAAAAAAUGCAACAAUGUUUUAUCGACAACGGAAAAAGUGUCGUCAUUUAGUAAAAACGAAGAUGAUAAUCGGGUGAAAAUCUUUAUACGAUCAACCGCAUCGAAUUUACCCAUUUAUGAAACACCAUCGUUGGUCGAUUCGGUGUCGGAUUAUUAUGAUUCGGUGCCAAAUGAAAGUAUUUGCGAUAAAAAAUCAACAACCGACGUACCUGAACCAGAUGAAAAGUGCAAUAUUGUCGAUUUUGGCAUAACACCAACCACAAAUCUGCUGACACCCACAUCACUUAAACAGUCUCAAGCCGAUUUGACAACGGCAUCCGGUAAAAAUUUAAAGAAUCUAUUUCCAAGUCGUCUUGGUUGUGACGGUGCCAUAUUUUGGAAUGAUUGCUUUUAUUAUGAUGAACAUGCGUGUUGCAAUUGCAAAUCGGAUUUGGAUAAAGCGUCCAAUUCCAAUGAGAACCGAUCAUCGAACAGUGACUCGUGUACGUGUUCACAAAAUCGGAGUAGUACAAAUAGCAGCAACGAUGCUGAAGAUGAUGACGACCUUGAGGUCGAUGGAUCGAGCUCUCGUCCACAGUCAAUGGAAGGUCCAAUGGAUUCUGGUAUCUCAUUGAAUGGAGACACAAUAUCUAGUCCAGACAGUGAUAACUCAUCACAACAUCACAUCCAAAAUCAAAGCGAUAUUGAAACGAGAAAGUCAAAACGAGGCCAUGUUCUAGCUGAAUUGCUUGAAACCGAACGAAUAUAUGUUGCUGAAAUGGGCUCCAUCCUAAGGGGUUAUCGUGAUCAAAUUCACUCCGAAGAAAUGGCAUCACUAGUUCCGCCUGGAUUGCAUGGAAAAGAAGAUAUUCUCUUUGGCAAUUUGAACGAAUUGUAUACAUUUCACAGUGAAGUGUUUCUAAAAGACUUGGAAAAUUGUAUAUCGACCACGGAACUGGUUGCACUGUGCUUUGUUCAACGGCGUGAUACAUUUUAUCGACUGUAUUCGUUCUAUUGCCAAAAUAUACCACGAUCGGAGCGAUUACGUGAAACUCUCGUCGAUACGCAUCUAUUUCUGCAAGAAUGCCAAAAACGGCUCGGUCAUAAGUUGCCAUUGGCCGCUUAUCUCUUGAAGCCGGUACAGCGCAUUACCAAAUAUCAACUUUUGCUCAAAGAUUUACUAAGAUUUAGUGAUAAUGGUACAUGUGCUAAGGAAUUGCAAAAGGCUCUUGACUGUAUGCUGAUCGUAUUGAAAUGUGUUAACGAUUCAAUGCAUCAAAUUGCAAUAACUGGUUUUCCUGCCGAUUUAACGCAACAAGGUGAAUUGUUGUUGCAAGAUUCGUUCCAAGUGGUGACAGAGUCAAAGAAAGACAUUCGAUUACGCCAGAAAACGCAACAACGUCACAUUUUUCUAUAUCAAAAGGCAAUGCUAUUCUGUAAACAAGCAACGAAAACUGGCCAUACCAAAAGUACUUAUCAAUUUAAGCACUAUGUGAAAAUGUCACACAUUGGAUUGACGGAAUCGGUGCGCGGUGAUGCUCGCAAGUUUGAAGUGUGGCUACAAGGACGAUCCGAAGUGCAUACCAUUCAAGCGAUGACGGUUGAAAUCAAAAAUAAAUGGGUUGCCGAAAUUAAGAAAGUACUACUCAAUCAACUUGAAGAACUGAAAGAUGAAAAAAUUAAGCAAUAUGGCUUGAGCCACAGUGCAAAUAUAUUCCGACCGUUACGGCAAACAGUUUCAUGGGAUACACCAAAUGGUAUGGCAAAUGCUCCACAACGGGCAAUGAGCGUUGAUACAAAUAGCACAAACAGCAACGAAACAAAUCGUUGCUCAAAUAUCAGCGAUGAAAGUGGACCAACACCGGCUGCACCGAUUAGCUCAUCAUCAUCCGAACAAGAUAAUCAUGAAGCUGGCGCAUGGAGUUCCGACUAUUCAAACAGCGAAGAUGAAUAUCCAAAUGCCGAAGACACAGCACCGGAUGUAUGGAGCGUAUUUACGGCACCAUUUCAGCAAAAACAAAACAAAUCGAGUGAAUCACGUUCAUCACUUCCAGCACUACCAUCACUGUCGUCAUCGAUAAUCGAGGAUAGCCAACACAAAUCGAAUUCCACAUUUUACGUGUCGGUCGAAGAUUAACCACAAAUUAUCAAAUUAACAAAUUCAGCUUUUUUUAUCCUUUCUCCUGCUCAAUCUCUCUCCAAUACAAUAUUAAGCUGGCCAAUUUUGUGUGCGCGUUUUUUUUUCACGUUCAAACAAAACAAUGGAGUAUACAAACAAGAAUCUUUAAGGCAAAUCACCAAAGAUUGAUUAAAAUUGAAAAAUGAAAUAAAAUGUUGAAUAAAACUAACGAUGCUCAAAUUAACAGUAAUUAUUCAAGUGCAUAUGGUAGCGAUGAAAGAAGAGAACUAUGACAAUGGUGCACACAAAUAAUGUGGAAUUGCGAAUAAAAAUAUGGUUGUAUCUAAAACGCUUGGACGAUGGCAGCGACCCGAAUAGCAAAUUUAAACAAAAAUCAAUCAGUAGUUCAAUGUUUAAGUGUGUGUAUGUGUGUAUGUUCGAAAUGUUGGGGGAUUUUGGAUUUAUUAUAGAGAUUUAUUUUAUGGUAAUCGUUUUGUAUCAUUAGCUGACUACUGUGCAAUGGGGCAUUCGGAAGUCUCAAUGAAAGAGGGCGAUGUUGUUGAAUUACUGAAAAUUGGAUGUGCCGGAUGGUGGUUU